rnacentral:rRNA from 1 species
UACGUAGGUGGCGAGCGUUGUCCGGAUUUACUGGGCGUAAAGGGAGCGUAGGCGGGCUUUUAAGUGAGAUGUGAAAUACUCGGGCUCAACUUGAGUGCUGCAUUUCAAACUGGAAGUCUAGAGUGCAGGAGAGGAGAAUGGAAUUCCUAGUGUAGCGGUGAAAUGCGUAGAGAUUAGGAAGAACACCAGUGGCGAAGGCGAUUCUCUGGACUGUAACUGACGCUGAGGCUCGAAAGCGUGGAGAGCAAACAGG